rnacentral:tRNA from 1 species
UGGGGUGUAGUUCAAUGGCAGAGCACUUGCCUAGCAUUCAUGAGGCCUAGGUUCAAUCCCCAGCACCCAAA